AAUGGACGAAAGUCUGACGGAGCAACGCCGCGUGAACGAAGAAGGCCUUCGGGUCGUAAAGUUCUGUUAGUUAGGGAAGAACAGAGUACCAGAGUAACUGCUGGUACCUUGACGGUACCUAACCAGAAAGCCACGGCUAACUACGUGCCAGCAGCCGCGGUAAUACGUAGGUGGCAAGCGUUGUCCGGAAUUAUUGGGCGUAAAGCGCGCGCAGGUGGUUCUUUAAGUCUGAUGUGAAAGCCCACGGCUCAACCGUGGAGGGUCAUUGGAAACUGGGGAACUUGAGUGCAGAAGAGGAAAGUGGAAUUCCAAGUGUAGCGGUGAAAUGCGUAGAGAUUUGGAGGAACACCAGUGGCGAAGGCGACUUUCUGGUCUGUAACUGACACUGAGGCGCGAAAGCGUGGGGAGCAAACAGGAUUAGAUACCCUGGUAGUCCACGCCGUAAACGAUGAGUGCUAAGUGUUAGAGGGUUUCCGCCCUUUAGUGCUGCAGCUAACGCAUNAAGCACUCCGCCUGGGGAGUACGACCGCAAGGUUGAAACUCAAAGGANUNGACGGGGGCCCGCACAAGCGGUGGAGCAUGUGGUUUAAUUCGAAGC
rnacentral:rRNA from 1 species